rnacentral:rRNA from 1 species
UACGAAGGGGGCUAGCGUUGCUCGGAAUCACUGGGCGUAAAGCGCACGUAGGCGGCUUUGUAAGUUAGAGGUGAAAGCCCGGGGCUCAACUCCGGAACUGCCUUUAAGACUGCAUCGCUUGAAUCAUGGAGAGGUCAGUGGAAUUCCGAGUGUAGAGGUGAAAUUCGUAGAUAUUCGGAAGAACACCAGUGGCGAAGGCGACUGACUGGACAUGUAUUGACGCUGAGGUGCGAAAGCGUGGGGAGCAAACAGG